rnacentral:rRNA from 1 species
AGUCGAGCGAGUCUGCCUUGAAGAUCGGAGUGCUUGCACUCUGUGAAACAAGAUACAGGCUAGCGGCGGACGGGUGAGUAACACGUGGGUAACCUGCCCAAGAGAUCGGGAUAACACCUGGAAACAGAUGCUAAUACCGGAUAACAACAGAUGAUGCCUAUCAACUGUUUAAAAGAUGGUUCUGCUAUCACUCUUGGAUGGACCUGCGGUGCAUUAGCUAGUUGGUAGGGUAACGGCCUACCAAGGCGAUGAUGCAUAGCCGAGUUGAGAGACUGAUCGGCCACAUUGGGACUGAGACACGGCCCAAACUCCUACGGGAGGCAGCAGUAGGGAAUCUUCCACAAUGGACGCAAGUCUGAUGGAGCAACGCCGCGUGAGUGAAGAAGGGUUUCGGCUCGUAAAGCUCUGUUGUUGGUGAAGAAGGACAGGGGUAGUAACUGACCUUUGUUUGACGGUAAUCAAUUAGAAAGUCACGGCUAACUACGUGCCAGCAGCCGCGGUAAUACGUAGGUGGCAAGCGUUGUCCGGAUUUAUUGGGCGUAAAGCGAGUGCAGGCGGCUCGAUAAGUCUGAUGUGAAAGCCUUCGGCUCAACCGGAGAAUUGCAUCAGAAACUGUCGAGCUUGAGUACAGAAGAGGAGAGUGGAACUCCAUGUGUAGCGGUGAAAUGCGUAGAUAUAUGGAAGAACACCGGUGGCGAAGGCGGCUCUCUGGUCUGUUACUGACGCUGAGGCUCGAAAGCAUGGGUAGCGAACAGGAUUAGAUACCCUGGUAGUCCAUGCCGUAAACGAUGAGUGCUAAGUGUUGGGAGGUUUCCGCCUCUCAGUGCUG